GGAGUCUGGACCGUGUCUCAGUUCCAAUGUGGGGGACCUUCCUCUCAGAACCCCUACCCAUCGUCGGUUUGGUGGGCCGUUACCCCGCCAACUGCCUAAUGGGACGCGAGCCAAUCCGAUACCGAUAAAUCUAUUAAACAAAAACCAUGCGGUCUCUGUUGUUACGGAGUAUUACGCGACGUUUCCAUCGACUAUCCUCCAGUAUCGGGCAUGUUGCUCACGCGUUACUCACCCUUUCGCCGGUCGUCGCCCAGCAAAAGCAAGCUUUCGCUGUCGUUACCCCUCGACUUGCAUGUGUUAAGCCUGUAGCUAGCGUUCAUC
rnacentral:rRNA from 1 species